GACGAACGCUGGCGGCGUGCCUAACACAUGCAAGUCGAACGGGGUAAUUUCUUCGGAGAUUACUUAGUGGCGAACGGGUGAGUAACGCGUGAGAAACCUGCCUUUCAGUGGGGGACAACAGUUGGAAACGACUGCUAAUACCGCAUAAUGUCAUUUGGGGGCAUCCCUGAGUGACCAAAGAUUUAUUGCUGAAAGAUGGUCUCGCGUCUGAUUAGCUAGUUGGUGAGGUAACGGCUCACCAAGGCGACGAUCAGUAGCCGGUCUGAGAGGAUGAACGGCCACAUUGGGACUGAGAUACGGCCCAGACUCCUACGGGAGGCAGCAGUGGGGAAUAUUGGGCAAUGGGGGAAACCCUGACCCAGCAACGCCGCGUGAAGGAAGAAGGCCUUCGGGUUGUAAACUUCUUUUACCGGGGACGAACAAAUGAUGGUACCUGGAGAAAAAGCAACGGCUAACUACGUGCCAGCCGCCGCCGUAAGAC
rnacentral:rRNA from 1 species